AACGAACGCUGGCGGCAUGCCUGACACAUGCAAGUCGAACGAGACCUUCGGGUCUAGUGGCGCACGGGUGCGUAACGCGUGGGAACCUGCCCUUAGGUUCGGAAUAACUCCCCGAAAGGGGUGCUAAUACCGGAUAAUGUCUUCGGACCAAAGAUUUAUCGCCUUUGGAUGGGCCCGCGUUGGAUUAGCUAGUUGGUAGGGUAAAAGCCUACCAAGGCGACGAUCCAUAGCUGGUCUGAGAGGAUGAUCAGCCACACUGGGACUGAGACACGGCCCAGACUCCUACGGGAGGCAGCAGUGGGGAAUAUUGGACAAUGGGCGAAAGCCUGAUCCAGCAAUGCCGCGUGAGUGAUGAAGGCCUUAGGGUUGUAAAGCUCUUUUACCCGGGAUGAUAAUGACAGUACCGGGAGAAUAAGCUCCGGCUAACUCCGU
rnacentral:rRNA from 1 species